UACAGAGGCCUCGAGCGUUGUUCGGAAUUACUGGGCGUAAAGAGAAUGUAGGCGGUCAUGUAAGUCAGAUGUGAAAGCCCUGGGCUUAACCUGGGAAGUGCAUUUGAUACUGCUUGGCUGGAGUGCGAGAGAGGAAAGCGGAAUUCCAGGUGUAGGAGUGAAAUCCGUAGAUAUCUGGAGGAAUACCGAUGGUGAAGACAGCUUUCUGGCUCGCAACUGACGCUGAGAUUCGAAAGCUUGGGUAGCAAACAGG
rnacentral:rRNA from 1 species